rnacentral:rRNA from 1 species
UUGACAGAGAGUUUGAUCCUCACUCAGCAACACUAAGCAUGUUUAACACAUGCAAGUCGGGGACGUGAAGUUUGGUGCUUGCACUGGGUCAAUAGUGGCAAAGCGUGAGUAAUACGUGAGUUAACCUGCCCUUGACUCGCACUGCCCUUGACUCUGGGAUAAGCCUGGGAAACUGGGUCUAAUACUGGAUCGACAUGUCACCGCGUGGUGGUGUGUGGAAGGGUUUUACUGGUUUUGGAUGGGCUCACGGCCUAUCAGCUUGUUGGUGGGGUAAUGGCUCACCAAGGCGACGACGGGUAGCCGGCCUGAGAGGGUGACCGCCAGCACUGGGACUGAGACGGCCGGGGGCGCCGGGAGGCAGCGGUGGGAGAAUCUGCACGAUGGGCGAAAGCCUGAUGCAGCGACGCCGCGUGAGGAUGACGGCCUUGGGUUGUAAACCUCUUUCGGCGCGGAAGACGAAGUGACGAGUGCGCGUGCAGGAAGACGCCGCUAACUACGUGCCAGCAGCCGCGGUAAUACGUAGCGCAAGCGUUGUGCCAGAGAAUUAUUGGGCGUGAAGAGCUCGUAGGCGGUUUGUCGCGUCUGCUGUGAAAGCGCGGGGCUUAACCCCGGGUGUGCAGUGGGACGGGCGACUUUAAGUGAGGUGGGGUGGAAUUCCUGGUGUAGCGGUGAAAUGCGCAGAUAUCAGGAGGAGACACGAUGGCGAAGGCAGGUCUCUGGGCUGUUACUGACGCUGAGGAGCGAAAGCAUGGGGAGCGAGAACGGGGUUGAGAUACCCUGGUAGUCCAUGCCGUAAACGUUUGGGCGCUGGGUCUGGCGGGAACAUUCCACGUUUUCGCGCCGUAGCUAAGCGCGUUAAGUGCCCCGCCUCGGGGAGUACGGCCGCAAGGCUAAAAGUUCAAAGGAAUUGACGGGGGCCCGCACAAGCGGCGGAGCAUGCGGAUUAAUCGAUUGCAACGCGAAGACCUUUACAACUUGACAUGCACCAACACAGGCCGAUGGUCUUUCCCUUGUCGGGGCUGGUGGCGCGGGUGGUGCAUGGUUGUCGUCAGCUCGUGUCAGUGAGAUGGGUGGGUCCGCAACAGCGCAACCCUCGUUCUAUGUUGCCAGCACGUGAUGGUGGGGACUCAUAGGAGGACUGCGGGGUGAGCGGAGGGUGGGGAUGACGUCAAAUCAUCAUGCCCCUUAUGUCUUGGGCUUCACGCAUGCUACAAUGGCCGCUGCGAUGGGUUGCGAUGCCGCGAGGUGGAGCUCAUCCCGAGAAAAGCUGGUCUCAGUUCGGAUCGUGAUCUGCAACUCGACCAGCGUGAAGUCGGAGUGGCUAGUAAUCGCAGAUCGGCGACGCUGCGGUGAAUACGUUCCCGGGCCUUGUACCGCGCCGCCCGUCAAGUCACGAAAGUUGGUAACACCCGAAGCCGGUGGCCUAACCCUUGUGGCUAGUCGAAGGUGGACUGGCGGGAUAAGUCGUAACAAGGUAGCCGUACCGGAAGGUGCGGCUGGGGUAGCCUCCUU